AGAGUUUGAUCAUGGCUCAGAACGUACGCUGGCGGCACGCCUUAUACAUGCAAGUCGAACGCAGUAGCAAUACUGAGUGGCAGACGGGUGAGUAUAAUGUGGGAAUCUGCCUUUUGGUUUAGAAUAACUCGGGGAAACCUGAGCUAAUACUGGAUAAGCCCUUACGGGGAAAGCUUUAUGCGCCAAAAGAUGAGCCCGCACUUGAUUAGCUUGUUGGUGAGGUAAAAGCUCACCAAGGCAACGAUCAAUAGCUGUUCUUAGAGGAAGACCAGCCACAUUGGGACUGAGACACGGCCCAGACUCCUACGGGAGGCAGCAGUAAGGAAUCUUGCACAAUGGGGGAAACCCUGAUGCAGCGAUGCCGCGUGAGUGAAGAAGGCCUUUGGGUUGUAAAACUCUUUCGUCGGGGAAGAAAAUGACUGUACCCGAAUAAGAAGGUCCGGCUAACUUCGUGCCAGCAGCCGCGGUAAUACGAAGGGACCUAGCGUAGUUCGGAAUUACUGGGCUUAAAGAGCUCGUAGGUGGUUAGAAAAGUUGGUGGUGAAAUCCCAAGGCUCAACCUUGGAACUGCCAUCAAAACUUUCUAGCUAGAGUGUGAUAGAGGAAAGUGGAAUUUCUAGUGUAGAGGUGAAAUUCGUAGAUAUUAGAAAGAACACCAAAUGCGAAGGCAACUUUCUGGAUCGCAACUGACACUGAGGAGCGAAAGCAUGGGUAGCGAAGAGGAUUAGAUACCCUCGUAGUCCAUGCCGUAAACGAUGUGUGCUAGACGUUGGAAAUUUAUUUUCAGUGUAGCAGCAAAAGCGUUAAGCACACCGCCUGGGGAGUACGA
rnacentral:rRNA from 1 species